rnacentral:rRNA from 1 species
CCUACGGGAGGCUGCAGUGGGGAAUAUUGGACAAUGGGCGAAAGCCUGAUCCAGCCAUGCCGCGUGUGUGAAGAAGGCCUUCGGGUUGUAAAGCACUUUCAGUGGGGAAGAAAGCCUUGGGGCUAAUACCCUCGAGGAAGGACAUCACCCACAGAAGAAGCACCGGCUAACUCCGUGCCAGCAGCCGCGGUAAUACGGAGGGUGCGAGCGUUAAUCGGAAUUACUGGGCGUAAAGCGCGCGUAGGCGGUCUGAUAAGCCGGUUGUGAAAGCCCCGGGCUCAACCUGGGAACGGCAUCCGGAACUGUCAGGCUAGAGUGCAGGAGAGGAAGGUAGAAUUCCCGGUGUAGCGGUGAAAUGCGUAGAGAUCGGGAGGAAUACCAGUGGCGAAGGUGGCCUUCUGGACUGACACUGACGCUGAGGUGCGAAAGCGUGGGUAGCAAACAGGAUUAGAUACCCUUGUAGUC